GAUGAACGCUGGCGGCGUGCCUAAUACAUGCAAGUCGAGCGAACGGACGAGAAGCUUGCUUCUCUGAUGUUAGCGGCGGACGGGUGAGUAACACGUGGAUAACCUACCUAUAAGACUGGGAUAACUUCGGGAAACCGUAGCUAAUACCGGAUAAUAUUUUGAACCGCAUGGUUCAAAAGUGAAAGACGGUCUUGCUGUCACUUAUAGAUGGAUCCGCGCUGCAUUAGCUAGUUGGUAAGGUAACGGCUUACCAAGGCAACGAUGCAUAGCCGACCUGAGAGGGUGAUCGGACACACUGGAUCUGAGACACGGUCCAGACUCCUACGGGAAGCAGCAGUAGGGAAUCUUCCGCAAUGGGCGAAAGCCUGACGGAGCAACGCCGCGGGAGUGAUGAAGGUCUUCUGAUCGUAAAACUCUGUUAUUAGGGAAGAACAUAUGUGUAAGUAACUGUGCACAUCUUGACGGUACCUAAUCAGAAAGCCACGGCUAACUACGUG
rnacentral:rRNA from 1 species